GUGCGCCACACCCCUCCUCCCCCCUUGGCCGCCGCACCAGCCCCCGUCUAGGGCUGCCCCCCCAGGAGAGGGAAACCCUCAAGGGGGCGCAACCCCUCCCUUCCCCUAUAUAUAGUGGGCACUUUUGGCCAUUGAAGAUCAGACUUUGGCCUCUCUCUCGGCGCAGCCCUGCCCUUCUUCCUCCUCCUCUCUGCCGGUGCUUGGCGAAGCCCUGCCGGGAGACCUCGUCUCUCCAUCGACACCACGCCGUCGUCUGCUAGAGUUCUUCCCCAACCUCUCCCUCCUCCUUGCUAGAUCAAGGUGCGGGAGAUGUCACCGGGCUGCACGUGUGUUGAACGCGGAGCUGUUGUAUUUCGGCACUAGAUCGGAAUCGCUACGAGUACGACUCCAUCAACCGCGUUCUAGCAACGCUUCCGCUUAGCGAUCUUCAAAGCUAUGAAGAUGCUCUUACCCCUCUCUCGUUGCUGGUCUCUCCAUAGGAAGAUCUGAAUAUGCGUAGGAAAUUUUUAAUUUAUGCUACGUUACCCAACAGUGGCAUCCGAGCCAGGUUUUCUAUGCGUAGAUUCUAUGCACGAGUAGAACACAAAAGUUGUGGGCGAUGAUUUGUCAAUUUGCUUGAAGCUACUAGUCUUAUUAUUUUCCGGCGGUAUUGUGGGAUGAAGCGGCCCGGACCGACUUUACACGUACGCUUACGUGAGACUGGUUCCACCGACAGACAUGCACACAGUGCAUAAAGGUGGCUAGCGGGUGUCUGUCUCUCCUACUCUAGUCGGAUUGGAUUUGAUGAAAAGGGUCCUUAUGAAGGGUAAAUAGCUUUGGCAUAUCAUCGUUGUGGCUGUCACGUAGGUAAGAAGGCGUUCUUGCUAGAAACCCAAAUCAGCCACGUAAAACUUGCAACAACAAUUAGAGGACGUCUAACUUGUUUUUGCAGGGUUUGACAUGUGAUGUGAUAUGGCCAAAGUUGUGAUGUUGCAUGUAUGAUGUAUGAUAUGAUAAUGUUAUUGUAAUAGGUUUCACGUGCAUGUCGAUGAGUAUGACAACCGGCAGGAGCCAUAGGAGUUGUCUUAAUUUAUUGUAUGAGAUGCAACGCCAUGUGCUUACUACUUUUACUUCAUUGCUAACGGUUAGCUAUAGUAGUAGUGAUAGUAGUAGUUGGCGUGACGACUUCACGGAGACACGAUGAUGCAGAUCAUGAUGAUGGAGAUCAUGGUGUCACGCCGGUGACGAUGAUGAUCAUGCGAUGCCUGAAGAUGGAGAUCGAAAGAGCAAAGAUGAUAAUGGCCAUAUCAUGUCACUAUAUGAUUGCAUUGUGAUGUUUAUCAUGUUUUACAUCUUAUUGCUUAGAAUGACGGUAGCAUAAUAAGAUGAUCCCUCUUAAAAUUUCGAGAACGUAUUCCCCUAAGUGUGUACCGUUGCGAAGGUUCGUUGUCUCGAAGCACCACGUGAUGAUCGGGUGUGAUAGAUUCUAACGUUCGCAUACAACGGGUGUAAGCCAGAUUUACACACGCGAAACACCUAGGUUGACUCGACGAGCUUAGCAUGUACAGACAUGACCUCGAAUACAAGAGACCUAAAGGUCUAACAUGAGUCGUAUGGUUGAAUACGAUCAGCAUGGAGUUGCUCACCGUGGUGACUAGUCCGUCUCACGUGAUGAUCGGACACGGGUUAGUCAACAUGGAUCAUGUAUCACUUAGAUGACUAGAGGGAUGUCGAUUUAAGUGGGAGUUCAUACUUAAUUUGAUUAAAUGAACUUAAUUGUCAUGAACUUAGUCUAAAAGUUGUCUUUAUAAAUAUUGUAGAUGGCCAACGUCAACCUCAAUUUCAACGCAUUCCUAGAGAAAAACAAGCUGAAAGAUGAUGGUAGAAACUAUGCGGACUGGGUUCGCAACUUGAAGCUCAUCCUUGAAGCAGCUAAAAAGGCUUAUGUCCUUGAUGCGCCGCUAGGUGACCCUCCCGCUCCCACAGCAGCCCAGGACAUUCUGAACGUCUGGCAAACGCGGAGUGAUGACUACUCUUUGGUUAGGUGUGGCAUGUUAUACAGUUUAGAAACGGGGCUCCAAAGGCGUUUUGAGCAACACGGGGCAUAUGAGAUGUUCCAGGAGCUGAAGCUAGUUUUUCAAGCUCAUGCCCGUGUCGACAGAUAUGAAGUCUCCGACUAGUUCUUUAGCUGUAAGAUGGAGGAGAACAGUUCUGUCAGUGAGCACAUACUCAAAAUGUCUGGGUUACACGGUCGUGUGACUUCACUUGGAGUCGAACUUCCGGAUGAUGCUAUAAUUGACAGAAUCCUCCAGUCUCUCCCACCAAGCUACAAAGGCUUUGUGCUUAACUACGACAUGCAAGGGAUGGAGAAGACCAUUCCCGAGUUGUACUCGAUGCUCAAGUCUGCAGAAGUAGAAAUCAAGAAAGAGCAUCAAGUGUUGAUGGUCAACAAGACCACUAGUUUCAAGAAAGGCAAGGGUAAGAAGAACUUCAAGAAAGACGGCAAAGUUGUUGCCGCGCCCGGUAAGCCAGAUGCUAGGAAGAAGAAAAAGAAUGGACCCAAGCCUGAGACUGAGUGCUUCUAUUGCAAAGGAAAAGGUCAGUGGAUGCGGAACUGCCCCAAAUACUUAGCGGACAAGAAGGCCGGCAACGUUAAAGGUAUAUGUGAUAUACAUGUUAUUGAUGUGUACCUUACCAGCGCUCGUAGUAGCUCCUGGGUAUUUGAUACCGGUGUUGUUGCUCACAUUUGCAACUCAAAGCAGGAACCGCGUAAUAAGCGGAGACUGGCCAAGGACGAGGUGACAAUGCGUGUCGGGAAUGGUUCAAAGGUCGAUGUGAUCGCCGUCGGCACGCUACCUCUACAUCUACCGUCGGGAUUAAUUUUAAACCUUAAUAAUUGUUAUUUAGUACCAACUUUAAGCAUGAACAUUGUAUCAGGGUCUUGCUUAAUGCGAGACGGCUACUCAUUUAAGUCAGAGAAUAAUGGUUGUUCUAUUUAUGAGUGAAAUGUUUUAUGGUCAUGCUCCGCUGGGGAAUGGUUUAUUCUUGAUGAAUCUUGAUCGUGAUGUUACACAUAUUCAUAGUGUGAGUACCAAAAGAUGUAAAGUUGAUAAUGAUAGUCCCACAUACUUGUGGCACUGCCGCCUUGGUCAUAUAGGUGUUAAGCGCAUGAAGAAGCUCCAUACUGAUGGACUAUUAGAGUCUCUUGACUUUGAAUCAUUUGACACAUGCGAACCGUGCCUCAUGGGCAAGAUGACUAAGACUCCAUUCUCAGGAAUAAUGGAGAGAGCAACCGACUUAUUGGAAAUAAUACAUACUGAUGUGUGUGGUCCAAUGAACGUUGAAGCUCGCGGUGGUUAUCGUUAUGUUCUCACUCUCACCGAUGAUUUGAGUAGGUAUGGGUAUAUCUACUUGAUGAAGCACAAAUCUGAGACGUUUGAAAAGUUCAAGGAAUUUCAGAGUGAGGUUGAGAAUCAACGUGACAGAAAAAAUUAAAUGUUUACGAUCUGAUCGUGGAGGAGAAUAUUUGAGUCACGAGUUUGGCACACACCUAAGGAAGUGUGGAAUCGUUUCACAACUGACGCCGCCUGGCACACCGCAACGGAACAGAGUGUCUGAACGUCGUAAUCACACUUUAUUAGAUAUGGUACAAUCUAUUAUGUCUCUUACCGACUUACCGCUAUCAUUUUGGGGAUACGCAUUAGAAACCGCAGCAUUCACUUUAAAUAGGGCACCGUCUAAAUCCGUUGAGACGACACCGUAUGAACUAUGGUUUGGCAAGAAACCUAAGUUGUCGUUUCUUAAAGUUUGGGGUUGCGAUGCUUAUGUGAAGAAACUUCAACGAGAAAAGCUCAAACCCAAAGCGGAGAGAUGCGUAUUCAUAGGAUACCCUAAGGAAACUAUUGGGUAUACCUUCUAUAUUAGAUCCGAAGGUAAAACCUUUGUUGCCAAGAACGGAUCCUUUCUAGAGAAAGAGUUUCUCUCGAAAGAAGUAAGUGGGAGGAAGGUAGAACUUGAUGAGGUAAUUACACCCCCUCUCGAACAGGAUAGUAGCCCAGCGCGGGAAGUUGUUCCUGUGGCGCCUACACCAACUGAAGAGCAAGUUAAUGAUGAUGAUCAUGAAGCUUCGGAUCAAGUUACUACUGAACUGCGAAGGUCCACAAGGGCACGCUCCGCACCAGAGUGGUACGGCAACCCUGUGAUGGAAAUCAUCUUGUUAGACAACGUGAACCUUCGAACUAUGAAGAAGCGAUGGCGGGCCCGGAUUCCAACAAAUGGCUUGAGGCUAUGAAAUCCGAGAUAGGAUCCAUGUAUGAGAACAAAGUGUGGACUUUGGUGGACUUGCCCGAUGACCGGCGAGCCAUAGAAAAUACAUGGAUCUUCAAGAAGAAGACUGAUGCAAACGGUAAUAUAACCGUUUACAAAGCUCGACUUGUCGCAAAGCGUUUUCAACAAAUACAAGGAGUUGACUACGAAGAGACUUUCUCUCCUGUAGCGAAGCUGAAAUCAGUCCGAAUCAAGUUAGCAAUUGCCGCCUUUUAUGUUAUGAAAUUUGGCAAAUGGACGUCAAAACAGCGUUCCUUAACGGGAACCUUAAGGAAGAGUUGUAUAUGAUGCAACCAGAAGGUUUUGUCGACCCUAAGGGUGCUAACAAAGUGUGCAAGCUGCAGCGCUCCAUCUAUGGGCUGGUGCAAGCAUCUCGUAGUUGGAACAUUCGCUUUAAUGAGGUGAUUAAAGCGUUUGGGUUCAUACAGGUUUACGGAGAAGCCUGUCUGUACAAGAAAGUGAGUGGGAGCUCUGUAGCUUUCCUCAUACUGUAUGUGGAUGACAUAUUAUUGAUGGGGAAUAAUAUAGAGAUGUUGGAGAGCAUAAAGGCCUAUUUGAACAUUUUUUUUUCAACGAAUGACCUUGGAGAAGCUGCAUACAUAUUAGGCAUCAAGAUCUAUAGAGAUAGAACAAGACGGCUCACAGGUCUUUCACAAAGUACAUACCUUGACAAGAUAUUGAAGAAGUUCAAUAUGGAAAACUCAAAGAAAGGGUUCUUGGCAGUUUUGCAAGGUUUGAGAUUGAGUAAAACUCAAUCACCGACCUAGGCAGCAGAUAGAGAGAAGAUGAGUUCUGUCCCCUACGCAUCAGCCGUGGGCUCUCUAAUGUAUGUCAUGCUGUCUACCAGACCUGAUAUAAACCUUGCCAUAAGCUUGGUAGGGAGGUAGCAAAGUGAUCCUGGUAUGGAACACUGGACAGUGGUUAAGAAUAUCCUCAAGUACCUGAAAAGGACUAAGGAAAUGUUUCUCGUUUAUGGAGGUGACGAAGAGCUCGUCGUAAAGGGUUACGUCGACGCUAGCUUCGACACAGAUCCGGAUGACUCUAAGUCACAGACCGGAUACGUAUAUGUGUUGAAUUGUGGGGCAGUGAGUUGGUGCAGCAGCAAGCAAGAAGUCGUGGCAGCAUCUACAUGUGAAGCGGAGUACAUAGCUGCUUCAGAAGCAGCUCAUGAAGGAAUUUGGAUGAAGGAGCUCAUCACCGACCUUGGAGUGGUUCCAAGCACGCCGGGUCCACUGACACUCUUUUGUGAUAACACUGGGGCCAUUGCCAUAGCCAAGGAGCCCAGGUUUCACCGGAAGACGAAGCACAACAAACGCCGCUACAACUCCAUCCAGGACCAUGUCCAAAGUGGAGUGAUAGAUAUUUGUAAAGUACACACGGAUCUGAAUAUUGCAGACCCGUUGACUAAACCUCUUCCACGAGCAAAACAUGAUCAACACCAUAAUGAUAUGGGUGUUCGAUACAUCACAAUGUAACUAGAUUAUUGACUCUAGUGCAAGUGGGAGACUUUUGGAAAUAUGCCCUAGAGGCAAUAAUAAAAUGGUUAUUAUCAUAUUUCCUUGUUCAUGAUAAUCAUCUAUUGUUCAUGCUAUAAUUGUAUUAACAGGAAACAGUAAUACAUGUGUGAAUAAAUAGAUCACAAUGUGUCCCUAGCAAGCCUCUAGUUGGCUAGCUCGUUAGUCAAUAGAUGAUCAUGGUUUCCUGAUCAUGGGCAUUAGAUGUCAUUGAUAACGGGAUCACAUCAUUGGGAGAAUGAUGUGAUGGACAAGACCCAAUCCUAAGCAUAGCACUAGAUCGUAUUGUUCGUAUGCUAAAGCUUUUCUAAUGUCAAGUAUCUUUUCCUUCGACCGUGAGAUUGUGCAACUCCAGGAUACCGUAGGAGUGCUUUGGGUGUAUCAAACGUCACAACGUAACUGGGUGACUAUAAAGGUGCACUACGGGUACCUCCGAAAGUGUCUGUUGGGUUGGUACGAAUCGAGAUCGGGAUUUAUCACUCCGUGUGACGGAGAGGUAUCUAUGGGCCCACUCGGUAGAACAUCAUCAUGAGCUCAAUGUGACUAAGGAGUUAGUCACACGACGACGUGCUAUGGAACGAGUAAAGAGACUUACCGGUAACGAGAUUGAACAAGGUAUAGGCAUACCUACGAUCGAAUCUCGGGCAAGUUCUAUACCGAAAGACAAAGGGAAUCAUAUACGGGAUUGAUUGAAUCCUUGACAUCGUGGUUCAUCCGAUGAGAUCAUCGUGGAGCAAGUGGGAGCCACCAUGGGUAUCCAGACCCCGCUGAUGGUUAUUGGCCGGAGGGGCGUCUCGGUCAUGUGUGCCUGUCUCCCGAACCCGUAGGGUCUACACACUUAAGGUUCGAUGACACUAGGGUUAUAGGGAAUUGUUAUACGAGGUUACCGAAAGUUGUCCGGAGUCUCGGAUGAUAUCCCAGACGUCAUGAGGAGCUUCGGAAUGGUCCGGAGGUAAAGAUUGAUAUAUAGGACGGAUGGUUUUGGAUACUGGAAGUGUUUCGGGCAUCACCGGUAACGUACCGGGACCACCGGAGGUGGCCCCGGGGGUCCACCGAAGGGGGGAAACGACCCCGGGAGGUAAGGUGGGCCAAGUGGGGAAGGGAACCAGCCCCUAGGUGGGCUGGUGCGCCUCCCCACUCAGCCCAAUGCGUGGGGGAGAGAAAAGGGGGGCAAACCCUAAGCCAGGUGGGCCUAAGGCCCACCAGGGGUGAGCCACACCCCUCCUCCCCCCCCUUGGCCGCCGCACCAGCCCCCACCAAGGGCUGCUGCCCCCCCAGGAGAGGGAAAUCCUCAAGGGGGCGUAGCCCCUCCCUUCCCCUAUAUAUAGUGGGCACUUUUGGCCAUUGGAGAUCAGACUUUGGCCUCUCUCUCGGUGCAGCCCUGCCCUUCUUCCUCCUCCUCUGUGCCGGUGCUUGGUGAAGCCCUGCUGGGAGACCUCGUCUCUCCAUCGACACCACGCCGUCGUGUUGCUGGAGUUCUUCCCCAACCUCUCCCUCCUCCUUGCUGGAUCAAGGUGCGGGAGACGUCACCGGGCUACACGUGUGUUGAAUGCGGAGGUGUCGUAGUUCGACACUAGACCGGAAUCCCUGCGAGUACGACUCCAUCAACCGCGUUCUAGCAACGAUUCCGCUUAGCGAUCUUCAAAGGUAUGAAGAUGCUCUUACCCCUCUCUCGUUGCUGGUCUCUCCAUAGGAAGAUCUGAAUAUGCGUAGGAAAUUUUGAAUUUAUGCUACGUUACCCAACAAAAGGAUGAUGAGGAUUUUGAGCGAUUCGUUGAAAUGAUCAGACUUGUCUUUCUGCAGAUGCGUUUGACUGAUAUGCUCAAGAUGUCUCCGUAUGUUAAGUACAUGAAAGAUACUUUGACUAAUAAGAGGAGGAUACCUGAUCUUGAGAUCUUCGCCAUGCUUGCUAAUUACACCUUCAAGGGUGGAACUCCGAAGAAACUAGGUGAUCCCGGUGUGCCCACUAUACCUUGCUCCAUUAAAGGCAACUACGUUAGAACUGCGUUAUGCGAUCUUGGAGCCGGUGUUAGUGUUAUGCCUCUCUCUCUUUAUUGUAUACUUGAACUGGAUAAGUUGACACCCACUAAAAUCUCUCUGCAAAUGGCCGACAAAUCAACUCCUUUCCCUAUUGGCAUUUGCGAGCAUGUGCCUGUUGUGGUUGCUAAUACCACUAUCUUAACAGACUUUGUUAUCUUGGAUAUUCCCGAGGACGAUGCCAUGGCUGUCAUUCUCGGAAGACCCUUUUUAAACACUGCAGGGGCUGCUAUAGAUUGCAACAAAGGCAAUGUCACUUUCCAUGUCAAUGGUAAUGAGCAUACGGUGCACUUUCCGAAGAAACAAUAUCGAGUACAUUGCAUCAAUGCUAUCAAAAAAUGUUCAUCGAUUCUUAUUGCGAGCUUUGAAUGCCAUAUUCCUCGCAUUAAGAUGAAGUACGAUUUGCUUGUUGGGGAGAUACACAUCCCCAUUGAGGUGACCUAGUGACUAUUCGGAAAUUCUCCGUCUUCUUUUGCGAUUCGAGAAUGUUUUGUCGAGGGGAUUUGAUCAACCCCAUUGACGGAUUUCUUUCGAUGACCAUGAGAUGGAUGAAUCAAGGAGUCACAAACCUCUGUUCCAAGCUUUCACUUUAGGUUGCUUAGAAGAAAAAUGAUAGGUUUAGUUUAUUUUUCCCUGUUUUCUGUUUUAGCGUCCGGUAGAAAAGUACCCCGAAAAUCAAAGUUCUCCGAACGCUGUGAAAAUCAAGUAUGAUUUUUUCUGGAAUAUUUGAAAAAUACUCGAACAAAGAGUCUGUCUGGGGGCCACACCAGUGGGCCACAAGCCCUAGGGGCAUAGGCACCCCCUGGACGCGCCACCCAGGCUUUUGGGGACCACAUGCACCCCCUCCACUCAUUCUUGCUCCCAUCCAGUUCUCCUACCUCUAGAAAAAAUCGUUUCGCAGCUCAAACCCAUGUUCUUGCUCCUCCAGCUGGGAUUUUCGAUCUCUUUGCUCAAAUCACCGUUCUCCGAACUGUUUUGGGGAAAUUACUCCUUCGUAAGUGACUCCUCCAUUGGUCCAAUUAGUUUUUGCUCUAGUGCCUUAUACUCCGCGUAUUUUUGCUGCCUUGGUGACCAUGUUCUUGAGCUUUGCAUGCUGAUUCUAGCUGGUCCCAAGUAGUUUUGAUGCGUAAUAUGGUCUCUAGGCACUUGUUGGAGUAGUUGCUAUGAGUUUCGUUGAGCCUUAUUCACUUUUCCUUAGAAUCACUAAAAAUUUCAGAAAUUUUCAGAGAUAGAAAAGGGAAAAGAUGAGGAGGUUCUUAAGAGGCUCGUCAAGCCGUGACCCCAAGGAUGAUGGGAGUGAGAAGAAGCCCAAGUAUUUGGUCCCUCGAGUCGCAGAAGUUCGAGCGUGCGAGUGGCCAAGCGACGUGUUCUUACGUGCUGCUGGAAUUUAUGAGGACUUUUAUCACUUGGUGGAGAACGCAGGCCUUACUGCCUUCGUUGAAGAUAAGUGUCCGCAAUACCUCCGCCUCACUAGUAUCUUCGUACAAAGCUUUCACUUCUAUCCGAGGAAGAAUCCUCCUACGGUUGAGUUUAAACUUUAUGAUAUCCCCCAGCGCAUGUCACUCCAGGAUUUUUGCAAUGUUUGCAAAUUGCCUUACGUUGUGGAUAUUCAUGAACCUCGUCCACGGGACCUGGAAGCUUUCAUUGGUACUAUUGCUGUAGGAGAGGAGAGAGGAGUGUCUUGCGCUAGAGCUGCUAGCAUACAUUUUCCCGUGCUUCGAUACUUCUCACUAUUUGUGGAAAAUGUUUGAUUUGCCGUGGGAAAGCUGGGUCACUUAGUUCCCCAGAUCCUGCGGUCUUGCGCGAAGCCCUUUAUAACGAUAAAACUUAUAGCUUAGGCACUAUAGUAGCUCAAUGGUUGAACCUGAACCGUUCUAAGGGUGUUGUCUAUGGAGGUAUCUACGCUACUCGUCUUGCUAGACACUUUGAGAUACCUAUUAGACUGGUGGAGGAAGAAGAGAUUCUUCUUCCCGAGAGAUAUCUAGAUUAUGAUAGCAUGGUUCGCCAUGACUUUCUUGAUAGAGAUAUAGGUGGAAGGAUGAUUUAUAACCUGGUAUUUAGUUAGGGUACUCGUGAGACUAUUACUUUGUCUGCUCCUUCUUUGUUCAAUCUUCAUGCAGGCAGGUACACUAUUAUGCCCUCGGACAUCUAUGCAUAUUGGGGCUUAGCCCAACCACAGGUGCCCGUGCCCGAGCCGCCAGUCGAGUACCAGACGCCAGUUUAUCAGUGGGAGCCAGAGGAGCUCACACAGCAGUGGCAUCCUCAGUCCACACCGGAGUACCCAGGAGCUGGUUAUUUCCCUCCUUGGGAGUAUACCAAGUUAGGCCAAAAGCCUAAGCUUGGGGGAGUACGUGUUCUCACCGACUUUAAAUUCUUGCUUAUGCUUUCACUUUGCUAGCCAGUGUUCACACUUUGCCACUGUAUCAUCCAUGCUAGUUUAUUUUCUUUUUUCUCAUUUUCUUUUCGUGUGUCUGUCUAGUUUGAGAAAAAAAACAAAAAGAUUUCCUUUUUCUUCUUUUGCUUGUUGGGAGCUUUCCCGUGUAGAGAGUUUUCUUUUUCUUUGGGUCAAGGUAGAAGACAUUGGUUGCAAUGUUUAGUGGCUCUUGCAUGCAUACCUGUUUAGUUUUCAAAGAGCCAUAUUACUUUGUCUUCUCCUUUGUGUUUGCCUGCAGAUUCCAGCUUUAGUCCAACGCACGAGCACGCUUAUUAUUGUUCACUUCGUUCGGUCGUGCAAGUGAAAGGAAAUAAUGACGAUAUAUGAUGAAGUGACUGAGCCUGGAAAAGAUGGUAUGAACUCGAUCUAUUUUGCUUUUGUAAAGAUGACUAGCUCAUCAUGCCUGACUCAGCUUUGUUGUGAGAGAAACAUGUUUGCAAUGAAAACUUAGAGAUCAUAGUUGCUUAUGCCAUGCUUACUUGGCUAGGAUCUUAUAAUUGUUUGUCUUGGUUGCCAACAUGAAUGUUGAGAUGACUAUGAUGUAGUAUUAUAGGAUGAUAUCCUCCUUUGAAUGUUUCAAGUGGCUUGACUUGGCACAUGUUCACGCAUGUAGUUGAAACAAAAUCAACAUAGCCUCUAUGAUGUUCAUGUUCAUGGUGAUUUAUGUCCUACUCAUGCUUGCAUUCAAUGUUAGUUACUCUCAAUACAUUUUGAUGACUGUUGUCGCUCUCUAGUUGGUCGCUUCCCAGUCUUUUGCUAGCCUUCACUUGUACUAAGCGGGAAUACUGCUUGUGCAUCCACCUCCAUAAACCCAAAGUUGUGCCAUAUGAGUCCAUCAUACCUUACUAUGUGCGGUAUCUACCUGUCGUUCGAAGUAAAUUUGCAUGUGCCACUCUCUAAAUAUUCAAGAAAUAAUCUGUUUUGCAUGCGUGAACCGCUCAUGUGGUGACAGGGGGCUAUUGGUAUCUUCCAUGCUAGGCAUGUUAUCCUCGAUAUGUGUUUAUUCACUAUCAUUCACGAGAAAGGGGCCGGUAAUUGGAAUUCCCAGUUCCAUGCUCAAAUGUAAAAGAUAAUUACAAACAAAACUCCCCCAGGAUUGAUGUUGGUAUGGACGGUACCCGAGGAUUAGGCUAGCCGUGGAGUGUGAUUGAUUGGUGGUGGGGGAGUCAAAACUUUACUUUUCUGUUUGGGAACCGCCUAUAGCAUGUGUAGCAUGGAAGAUGUUGAGAACUCUUAGUCAUUGCGUUGACAAUGAAAGCAUGCCACCCAAAAUUAUUAUCUCUGUUUUCAAAGCUUGAGCUCUGGCACCUCUGCAAAUCAAUGCUUCCCUCUGCGAAGGGCCUGUCUAUUUAUGUUCAUGAGUCAUCCUCCUCUUACAAAAGCACCAAUUAGAGAGCACCUCUGUCAUUUUUAUGCUUUGCUUUUAACUGUGUUGAGUAUGACUAUGACUGGAUCUUCAUUGCCUUGAAUUACAAUGUUUAGUCAGCCCUUGGUCUUUGAAGGUGCUCUGCAUUUAUGUUUUGCGGUCUCAGAAAGAGCUAGCGAGAUACCAUCUAUUCGUACUGCUUCAUCUUGCUUUGAUUGAAGUGUUGACAUUUGAGGCUUAUUAUUAUUUGCUCGCUAGUUGAUUAUGCCAUUGAUAUGAGUUUACCGUGAGACCUAGAUGUCAUUUGCUUAUGUGGUUUGCUUGUGAUGUUGCUGAAAUUCUGGUUAUGAGUUAGACAUAGUUGCAACAACAAGAUCAAACAGAGUUCGUCAAAGUUUUUCUUUUGUCUCUCUCAGUUUGUCAACUGAGUUGCUUGAGGACAAGCAAGGCUUUAAGCUUGGGGGAGUUGAUACGUCUCCGUCGUAUCUACUUAUUCAAACUCUUUUGCCCUUGUUUUGGACUCUAAUUUGCAUGAUUUGAAUGGAACUAACACGGACUGACGCUGUUUUCAGCAGAAUUGCCAUGGUGUUGUUUUUGUGCAGAAGUAAAAGUUCUCGGAACAUCCAGAAAAUUUACGUAGAAUUUUUCCGGAAUAAAAAAAAUACCUGCGCAAAGGUCCACGUGAGGGGGCGUGCCAGUGGGCUACAAGCCCACAGGCUGCGGCCACCCCCUAUGGUCGCGUAGUGUAGGGUUGUGGGGACCACGUGGCACCACCGCCCCCAAACUCAGCUCUAUAUUUUCCAUUUCGCCUGGAAAAAAUAAAUCAGAAAUAAGGUUUCAUCGUGUUUUGCGAUACGAAGGCACCGCCACAUCCUGUUCUUCAUCUGGAGGGCAGAUGUGUAGUCCGUUUCGGGCUCCGGAGAGGGGAAAUCGUCGCCAUCGUCAUGAUCAACCUUUCUCCAUCAACAAUUCCGUGAUGCUCUUCAUCGUUCGUGAGUAAUCUCAUCGUAGGCUUGCUGGACGGUGAUGAGUUGGAUGAGAUCUAUCAUGUAAUCGAGUUAGUUCUUGACGGGGAUUGAUCCCUAGUAUCCACUAUGUUCUAGAUUGAUGUUGCUACUACUUUGCCAUGCUUAAUGCUUGUCACUAUGGCUGAGUGUCAUGAUUUCAGAUCUGAACCUAUUAUGUUGUCGCCAAUAUAUGUGUGUUUUAGAUCCUAUCUUGCAAGUUGUAGUCACCUACUAUGUGUUAUGACCCGGCAACCCCGGAGUGACAAUAGCCGGAACCACUCCCGGAGAUGACCAUAGUAUGAGGAGUUCAUGUAUUCACCAAGUGUUAAUGCGUUGGUCCGGUUCUUUAUUAAAAGGAGAACCUUAAUAUCCCGUAGUUUCCAUUAGGACCCCGCUGCCAUGGGAGGGAUGGACAAUAGAUGUCAUGCAAGUUCUUUUCCCUAAGCACGUAUGACUACAUACAGAAUACAUGCCUACAUUAGAUUGAUGAAUGGGAGCUAGUUACAUAUCUCUCCGUGUUAUAGCUGUUACAUGAUGAAUCACAUCCGUCACACUCAUCCAUCACCAAUCCACUGCCUACGAGUCUUUUACUACUGGUCCUGGCUACGUUACUUUGCCUAGGCUUGUCCCUUGCUACAAAAGGGAUUGGUCCACUUUGCUGUUGUUGUCACUACUGCUGUUACUUGUUGCUUUGCUGCUGCUGUCACUACUGCUGUUACUUGUUAUUUUGUUGCUGCUGCUACUACUGUUCCUUGCUACUCCACUGUUACUUGUUGCAAGACUUUUUUGGCGCUAACAUCUCGUCAACAAGGCUUUUUCUGGCGCCGUUGCCGGGGAUUGUCAAAGCUUUUUCUGGUGCCGUUGCUAUCAUACUUUCUUGCUACUGAUACUUUGCUUGCAGACACUAAUCUUUCAGGUGUGGUUGAAUUGACAACUCAACUGCUAAUACUUGAGAAUAUUCUUUAGCUUCCCCUUGUGAGAUAAUCAAUAAAUUUGGGUUGAAUACUCUACCCUCGAAAACUGAUGCGAUCCCAUACGCUUGUGGGACAUCAGAGACCUAGUGCUUCUGUACAACUCUCAUUUUAGAUUCUUUGUAGGUAAACUCCUCUCCAAAUGGGAAGGACCCUAUGUUGUCGAGGAGGUUUAUCGGUCUGGAGAGUGGUGAAAAAUUAAUGACUUCGAAGGUAAAAACCCGAGAGUCGUGAAUGGGCAAAGAAUCAAACAUUAUAUUUUAGGUGCACCCAUUAAUGAGGAGACCAAUAUCAUCCAAGUCAUAACACGGGAAGAUCACAUAAAGUAAGAGGCUGUUUGGUUUCCAGUCUAAGGUUGCCACGCCUAACCUUAGUCAUGCCACAAUACCUUAGGCAUGUGUUUGGUUCAUUGUCACACUUGUGGCUUGCCACACUUUUCUAGUUAUAUGGUCCACAUGUCAUACACUUAUUGUUUUGCCAAAUCUUGCCACACUUGUGGUGUCUAUUUUCUUAGCCACACUUUUUGUGGCAGCCACACUUUGCCUAAGGUUAGUUGUGGCAAAGUUAGUCAUGAACCAAACAGGCCCUAAGUCUUCCGGAAUGCUCCACACACCUGAAAAAGGGUAGGUAUGUGGUACGGUAAGUAAACCGACUCCAAAAAUUCCCAAAAAAUAAUUUAUGUCAGCUUUGGUAUUUUAGAAAAAUUACAACAAUAAAAAGGAGUCCAGGGGACCCACGAGGUAGGCACAUGCCAACAAGGUGCGCCCCCUGAUUUUUUGUGGGGCCCUCGUGCGCCUCCCGGUAUAUGACUUCUUACUGAACACGUAUUCUGGUCUAGAAAAAUUAUUAUAUAUACUCCCGGUUGUUUUGAAUAUCGCACCGCGAGAUUUUCUUCUGUUCUUGUUUCGGGUUGUUUUUCUGACAGAUCUAGAUCACCAUGACGACUCCAGGUUCCUCCAAGGACAAGUUCUUAGAGAAGGUCAUCAACCCGUACCUCCUGGAGGUGAUGAAACACCCUCAAGACAUUGACAUGCAUGAGGGGGUGCUUCACAUCCGUGACGUCCAAGAGCCAAAGAAGGAGGGAAGCGAGAAGGACAAGCUUGCAGAGGUGGAGCAGGAGAUCUUCAAGUGUCAGGGGAUGGUUGAACGUGGUUUGAGUGCUAACCACUCCAUGAUCAGAGACUUCAUCCAGGAGAACAAGCUGGACACUACGAAAGUGGGGAGGUUUUUUUUAAAAUAGAAGAGCGGGUCGAUCAGCUCCAAGGUCAAGUCUAUGAACUCGAAAGCCAAAACUGCGACUAUGAAUCUAGGUUUUAAAGGAUGAGCUUUGCUGCCGGUUUCAGGGCUCCCGAGACAAAAUUCUCUUAUUAUGAUGGGGAGUCUACACCUUGGAAGGCAUAAGAGGACACCCCAACUACACCACCACUGACACCCAAGAAGGACGCUUGAGUACAUGGUUAUGGGCAUCACCCUUGGCUUACAUAAUAAAGAUUAGUUGAGUAUGUAUGCUUUGCUCUCAUUACAUCCAACAUCAUAGCAAAGCAAUGAAAAACAUAUAUAGAGAAAUAUCAUAUGCUUAUCUUAUGAGGAGUAAUGACUUUGCAUAGUAAAAAGUAUAAGUGAUGAAGGUUCUUGAAAAUAAACAAGCAUAGUAUUAAUCAUGUUACAAUCUAAGCAAGACUAGAAAGAGGAGAGGAGAUUCUCAUAUAAAUACACAAUCUUGGACAUCUUUUAUGAUUGUGAUCCCUCAUCAAAUAUUAUAUAUUGAUCAAGUGUUGACGUAGGACAUGUAAGACAACAUAAUGGUGAUGGUACUUUACAUUCAUAUAGAAUUUAUAUGGUCGUGGAUCCUUUAACAUGUGGUGCUUGCUUUAGAUCUUUUGCUAGCCCAAAAACUUUGCACUAAGUAGAAAUACUACUUGUGCAUCCAUAACCCUGAAACCCAGUUUCUUGCCAUGAGAGUCCACUAUACCUACCCAUGGAUUGAGUAAGAUCCUUCAAGUAAGUUGUCAUCGAGGCACCAAGCAAUAUAAAGUUGCUCCUAAAUAUGUAUGAUCUUUUAUUACGAGGGAAAAUAAACUUUGUACGAUCUUGUGAUGGCAAAUAAAUAAAAACGACAAGCUGCAUAAUAAACUUUGCUAUCACAAGGGGCAAUAUAAAGUGAUGUUCCUUUGCAUUAAGAGUUUGCACACCUCUGCUUCCCUCUACGAAGGGCCUAUCUUUUAUCUUUGAAAGUUCACACUUGUGUGUGAGUCACUAAAUUCCUUCAUCUUUCUACUUAUUAAUUCUAUAGUGGCAAGCAUCAUGUGUUGAGGAAAGAUUCAGAUUUAUAUAUCCAAGUGAAUGUAGAUUAUCAUGAUUAUUAUUGUUGACAUUCUCCUUGAGGUAAAUGGGUUGGGCCGCAAAUCAUUUAAGCCCCUAUCUUCCUAUGUGUCCUGUGAAAACAUGAGCUCCAAAAAUAUGACUCGAGUGUGAGGAAUCAUAGAAGAAUAAAUGAUAAUUGAGUAUGUGAACUUGCUAAUAAGAAAGCUCUUACAUAAAAUCUCCUCUCAAAUAUGUUCAGUUAUGAUUGGCCCAUUGACUGAGAAGAUAGUUUGUUGUUUGUCAGCAAAUAUUUAUGCUUGAUACUCCAAUAUUUGUGAAUGGAUUGUUAAUUAUUUAUGAGAAGAUAUAUGAUAAAAUAUUUGCUGCUCUGCUAAUAUUCAUGAUGCUCUCAUGCCUGUAUUUUUAUUUUAUCGACUUCUCCCUCUCAAAUCAUGUGGCCAUUAUUCUUGAGCUCGGCUUUGGCUUGAGGACAAGCGAGGUCUAAGCUUGGGGGAGUUGAUACAUCCAUUUUUCAUCAUGAAUCUUUAUUGAUAUUUUUCUUAUUAUUGUCCAUUAUUCCCUAUCAUUAUGUAAUUCUUAUGCCUUUUCUCUCUAAAUAUGCAAGGUACGUCACAAAGAGGGAAAUAUCUGAAAAUAGGAAUUCUCGACCGAGAAACCGAGAAAAAGGCAGAAAAAUCAAGUUGCUCCAAAUGACCUGAAACUUCAUGCAAAAUCAAGUUGCUCCAGCACCAUAUCAUCUCCAAUCGUAGUUCAUCUCAUGUAUUCAAUCUUUGCCGCAAAACCUCAAAUUGGUAUUUGUGGGUUGCUAGUUAUGUUCAAUACAUCUUUUAGUUGAUGGUAGUUGGAUUACUUGGUGGAAGACAUUAUGUUGAGAUCCUUGAUCAUUAUUAUUAUACUUCUGGUGUUGAACAUGUUGAUAAGGUGUGGGUAGUUACUAUUUCUCCUAAGGACAUGGGAGAAGUCUUGUUAUAAGUAAUCAUAUAAAGUUGGUAUUCGUUCAAUAUUUUGAUGAUAUAUAUGUUGUUACUUCCUUUAGUGGUGUCAUGUGAACAUUGAUUACAUGUCACUUCACCAUGUUAUGGGCCUAAAAAAAGUCAUUGUCGAGUAACAAAUAGAUGAUGGGUUGUGAGAAUGACGGAUGCUUAAACCACAGUUUAUGCGUUGCUUCAUGAGGGGUGAUUUGGAUCCACAUGUUUCAUGCUAUGGUUAGAUUUAUCUUAAUUCUUCUUUCAUAGUUGAGGAUGCAUGCGAGAGGGGUUAAUCAUAAGUAGGUUGUUAGUUCAAGUAAGAACAACACAUUAGCGUCGGUCCACCAACAUAUCAAAUUAUCAAAGUAACAAACACGAACCAACUCAAUAUGAUGAACAUGACUAGACAAAUAUUCCCAUGUGACCUCGGGAGCACUUGCUUUAUAUAAGAGUACUUUCAGGCAUGUUCUUUGCUAUAAAAAGGAUUGGGCUAUCUUGCUGCACCUUUGUUACUAUUUCUACUUGUCACCGGUUACAAAUUGUCUUGCUACAAAACUAUCUAUCACUGCUAUUCACAGCACUUGCGGAGAAUACCUUGUUGAAUACUACUUAUCAUUUCCUUCCGCUCCACGCUGGGUUCGACACUCUUACUUAUUGAAAGGGCUACGAUUGAUCCCCUAUACUUCUCCAUAGAAUCUUAUAUAUGAUGAUCAACUUGCUUCUUCCCAUACAUAUAUAAUGAUCCAUUUGCUCCAGGAUCCAUUUGCUUCUUCCCCUGUUUUUUUAACUCCUAUAGAAUGAUCAAUCACGGUAUGCAUGAGUAUACAUUAUUCUUCCCAUACUAUUUUGUUAGUUCAACUAAAAGAGACACGACAAUCUUAUAUAUGAAUGGCAUACAUUCCUAGCAUAGCAUUGUAACUAAAACAUUGAAGUCGUGCAUUUUUUGAUAAUGCAUCGUUUGCAUACUACUUCUAUAACCGGGAUGGAAAUUACCAUGAAGUAUUGGUGGCAAUUUGCACUAUAAUUACAUGGCAAAGUUGCACUAUAAUUACAUGGCAAAGUUGCAGUGUCGGUGCAUUUAGCGGCAACUACUUCUAUAACCGGGUGGCCACUACCAGCAAAGUUGGGCGGCAUCCCCCCUCCCUAAUCCCUUGAUGAAAAAAAUAUCCGCUUUGUCUUGCCCCUCCCCCAUACCCACCUGACAAGUUAUUGGACGUACGGGCCGCGGGGUGGUAUACCCAAACCUACGGGAGGUGGGGUGGGACGCAGAACGUAGGCUGUUUUGCGUAAAUGGCACACGAGACGUGCGGCAAUCCAUCCUUAGAGUCCAUACAUGUGGUAAAUACCACGACCUUAAAUUUAAUCAACAUGGACUACUACAACAGAAGCAAAAAAUAUACCAUAGAACUAGUAUUCGAAAGAAGGUUUUUAAUGAUAUAGUUUUAGAGUUUUUAAUGGUAUAAUUUUUUGCUUCCGUCGCAGUUAGUCAUAUUUGCUGAAUUUAUGGUACAUAAAUCUUAAAAAAUAUAAUGCAUUACAUUAUGAAACAAAAGGAGUACUUUUCAUGAUGAUUUGACACCACAUACGUGUAUGAAAGAUUGUAAAUAUGACACCGAUGCCAAGCAUGAUUUACGUCGCCAAUUUGGCAUUUGGCACGCCGUGAAUGCCCUUUUCAGCAGAUGAAUCGAAGGUCUUAAAUGGAGUGCAGAGUACUUGUCAGAAACUGACAAGAUGGAACGAAACAUAUCAGUCAGGACUUUUCCCCACCACCGGUGGGAUAUAACAAAGGUCCUAAAAUCAGCGCACAAUAUUGAAAGGCGAAAAAACGUGAUCUUGCUAACUAUCGGUUCUUUAUCUGCAUUGUACUCUCUCCAUUCCAUAAUAUAAUAAUACAAAAAUUUCUAUGACACUAGUUUCGUGUAGAAAAUGCCUUUGUAUUAUAUGAACGGAAAGGAGUAACUUCUACUAUGUGCCUUUCCACAGGUCUCCCAUCCCUGAACGGGCAAGGAAAAGAUCUAUCGAAGAAACGCGACCGAGUAUCCGUUCGCUUCCCCAAAUACGUUUUUAGGCGAAAAAUAGCGCCUCUUGGGGCAGUCGGUGCUAUUUUCGAUGUACAGGAACUCCGGCUUCCAACGUCUCCAGUUGCCCCUUCCUCCUUCAACCGUCGAGUUCGAACUCUGAUUCGACACAUAGUUCAUAUCAAUACAAAUCAAAUAGUUUAAUGAAGCAAGUUCAUAAUUCAAACACAAUUAAAAUACAUCAAACUUGGCAUUGCCUUUGAGACCUCCAUAGGUGUUUCAUCAGAUCGUGUUGCAAUUUUUGUUGUACCUGUAGGUCUCGGAUCUCUUGACGCACAUUAAGGAAGACAACCCAUAAUUUCAGUACCUGAUGAUCAACAGCUGCAAGAGAACAGACAAAUCACCAAACAUCUAGCGGGCGUGGUGGACGGGUAGCCGCCGGUAUCCUCGCUUGCGUGGUCGGACCUUUGGAAAGCUCGGCGAGUAGCGGGGAUGGAGGCCGUCACGACGAAACUCACUCUUUGCGGUAUGGGAAUGGCCUUUCUAGCUGUGAGACAGCGACCGUGGGCAGGGGAAUGGUGCCGGUAUCAAUAUGACGAUGAAAGGGGAAGUGAUGUUCUACCGCGCGUGGAUCGUAUCUGAAUGGGAAAAGGCAUUUCUUGCGGCCACUUUUCCUUCCAUCGGAGCUUCAAGUGCCCCAACGCUUUGGAUUCGGGCUGAAAUCGCUGGACCGAAAAAUGACCUACGGAAUUUGAGGAUAUUUUUUGCGUCGGCGGAAAAGAAGUCCUCUUGAUGGGUCUGUUGUGGUGCGGGUGGAGAUGCUCUCACCUCGAUCAGCAAUGCUACACAUACAUAAGUUUACAUACUCCCUCCUUUCUGGUUUACAGGGCUCAUCUCAAAAUUUUCAGAUUUCCAUUAUAUUAGGCUCAUUUUAAGUCUAAUAGAGUUAAAGUGCUUUGAGUCCCAUGCCAUAUUUAAUUCAUAGAGUUUGAAGAAAAGAGAUGAGUGGCUAUGUAUGCAUCAUUUUCUACAUCCAUCAUGAAAGUCCAAUGAGAAGGAGAAUGUUACAUUUAUUGCCUUGAAAAUUGAAUAUGUGAGUAAAUAUUUCAUUGGCUAGUUAAAGCUAGUGUCAUCCACUUACAAUUCACCUUGGUUGAUGAGAUUUUAGAUUUGAACCCUAUAAACCGGAAAGGAGGGAGUAGGUUUUACAAAGAAGUGGAUUUUAAUUAAAGAUUAAGGGGAAUGAGGGCUCCACCCUCCCUUGAAAAUCAAAAAAAGUGAUUAGUUAGAAAGAAAAAAUCGUAAUCAACGUGUAAUUUAAGUAACUCUUUGUAUGUCUAACAUUUUUGUGAUCUCGACUUCUCGACUGUGAUAAGACCACCCGUCGGCACGGAUUCACGGACAAUAAAACCAUCCGCCCCAUUCCAAUUCAUCGACAUUGACAUGCCGCCAUACCUGCAUGCAUCAUUGCAUCUCUCCCUCCGCCCGUGACCUGAGAAGGACGGGCCGCAUGUCGCACCUCUACCUAUUCUAUCCUCCUCUCCUGCGCGGACGACGCACCGCCACCCCGUGCAACUCGCCUAUAAGAAGCGGCGUACACAAUGCUAAGCCUAAGCUCACUCCAACAGAGCCACACACGACACAAUCUCCUUAGCAUUACCAGAGCCUCCCAGUUAGCAAUGGCAAAGUGUCUCGCCGUCGCGCUCCUGCUAGUGGUGCUGCUCGCGUCCUGCGACGGGAGGGAGCUGAACGAGAAGGCUGCAGCGACACGCGGUGCCGGUGUCGGCGGCGGCGUCGGCGAGUCCAAGGCUAUGGGGUUGCCGGACUUGCCAGCUGUGACGCUCCCCACGACCCCGACGCUCCCCACGGCACCGACGCUCCCCACACUCCCGACGCUCCCUACGGUCCCGACUCUCCCGCUACUGGGAACCAUUACGGGUACCAGUACCAUUACCGGCCCGGUGGUGGUGCUUCCGGCGGUCCCUGCUCACCCAUGAUUAUCUCUACUUGUACGGUGUACGUGCCUAGAUCAUAGCACCGUUCGCAGGGAAAGACACCGGCGUUGCGUUCAUGUCCAAGGCCCUUCAUUGAUGGGAGUCUGUAUUUAUCUUCAGUUAAAGUUCUUGUAUUGUUCGUUCGUUGAUGUGUUUUUACAUGUAUCAUGGACAUCAUAAAUACUACCGGUACUUUGUCAGCGUGAUCACCUUGUUGGAUAGACGUACGAACAAGUCGCAGCAUCAACGUCCCACUUCGUCACUCUAAUAACAAAGCCCCAAGUCCAGAGUUGUUCAUUUAAAAGAACUACUUCCUCCGAUCUAAAUUAAUCGACGCAACCUCUAUGCAAGCAAGUUAGUUGUCGCAGGGUUUCAUGGCUUGCUUUCUACAUGCGUUUUGCAUGAUUGUGUUUUGUUCUUGACUGGGGGACUAUUUUGAGUAAUGAUAUGUAUCCACGAACUUUACGAGCGUUUUAUGGGGUGAGUUUAAGCUCGCAAGUUGUGUUUCGAUGACGCGGGAGGGGCUCCCCCUCCCCCCAACCCGCACCGUCCGUUUAUCAUUUUUUGCUUGUGUUUUGGUAGUGCACCCCAAUUUUUGAUAUUUAAAUUUUUGACAUAAAAAUAGGCACAUGCUACUACAGAGUAUAUAGCUGUUUUUUUAAGGGAAGGCCUGCUAGCUUUAUUAAUCAAAUAAUACUUACAUGGGUUGCUAAAGAAUUACGAAUAAAAGCUGGUGGUGCGUCAAUCCAAACUGAACGAUUGUUUGUACUACAUAGCUGACUUAAGAGGGCACAUAUUACAACAAAAUAUCAAAUAAUUUGUACUUUCAUGCGAGUUUUUGCUAUGAAAUAGCUUUUUCAGCAUUUGCUGGUACCAAAUAUGGUAAAAGAAGAAGACCAUUUUUAAAAUAUUAAUCACCUUAAUAAAAAGGAUCGCGAUAUCUGCCGCAUGUGUGGCAAAUGGGAGGUACGUGCCGCACGCGCACGUCCGGGCGUCUCAAAUCGCAGCCCUUACGUUUGGUGGCUGAGACAAUCGCCCGCCCGCAGGACCUGACUUGCCAUAAUAUCCGCCCACACGUCUCACGUCACCGCAUGCAUGCAUGUACUUGGAAAUCUUUUGGAUUUUCAGUUUUUAAAAUGUUUUAUCUUUUAAAUGAAAAAUCCGAUUGAAGAUCCGUUUUCAUCAUUAAAUCAUCCGGGACGAGAUCUUCGAAACUAGAUUUCAUAUCAAUAUUUCUCAACGACUUUUUUUGGGGUUAAAAUUGUCAUGUCUAUUGCAGAUGAAUUACCAUGGCGUUUACACUGAAGUUGUUAUGAUAUGUUUCAAUUAUUUUCUCUUCUACCUUUAAAAGUAAAUUUUGACAUAUUAUAAAAUUGGGAAUUAAAAAACUAGACUUGCCAUGAACCAUAAACUAAAAUUGCCAAGGUGAAAUACUUUUUUUUAACACAGUACAAACGCAAGCGCUCAUACAUACGCGCUUACACUCGCAUGGCGAAUUACUUAAAUUUUCCAUUCUACAUGUACUUAUAUUUGCCAUGGUUCAUAUAAAAAAUAAUUUCCAUGGUCAAAGUACUGGAAUUGUGAUGUUUUGACGACUUUUUUUGGGUUAAAAGGUGGCAUGUCUAUCGCACAUGAAUUGCCAUGAUUUUUUACAGUGAAGUUGCUAUUAUAUGGUUCAACUAUUUUUUUCUUCUACCUUUAAAAAUAAAAUUUGACAUAUUAUAAAAUGGGGAAUUAAUAAACUAGACUUGCCAUAAACCAUAAACUCAAAUUGUCAUGGGAAAUUACCAUGGUGAAAAAAUUUCCAUGGUCAAUUAAUAAAAAUUCCCGUAAAAAGUAGUUGAAAAUAUAACGGUAAUUUUAAAUCUAGAAGAAAAAAUAGAUAGAACAUGUCAUGGCAACUUUCAUAUAAACACUAGGGCAACUACUGUGUAAACAUCGUAGCAACUUUUUGCCAAAAGUUUUUUUCGUCGAAACAUAUCAACAUGGAAUCUAGCUUUGAAGAUCUCGUCGAGACAGAUUUAAUUGUGAAAACGUAUUUUUAAUUGGCUUUUUUAAUUAGGAGAUAAAUCAAUUUUAAGCGUCAAAAUCAAAAAUAUUUACACUCAUGUCGUCUGUUUUGACGUGGCAAAAUGGAUGGUAACAGAGACGUUUGAGCCAUGUUGCUUCAUGCCACAUGCCGGCUUGGCAGCUGCGAGCAAUUUGAGAGAGAAACGGACGCGCGGGCGAAAUGGUUAAACGUCCACACACCAGGCGAGUCCUACGUGGCAAAAAAAAUCCAGACAAAAGUUGCCAAGAUUCGUGAGACAACCAAUGGACGACAAUCCAUGCGUGUGGGCACUGGUAGAAAAAGAGGCUUCCGUCCAGCCCCAUAAGUCGCGACACUGUAGGAACCGCGACUAAUGAAUUCUUUAGCCGCGGUUCGGCAGACGAACCGCGACCAAAGGCCUGGGCCAGGGCGCUCGGUGGCCAGCUGGUGCACGUGAGGGGCUUUAGUCGCGGUUGGCCAGGCCAACCGCGACUAAAGGUGCCCAAAGGCCUUUAGUCGCGGUUGGCCAGGCCAACCGCGACUAAAGCUCCUCCCCUAUAUAUACCAGUUCAGCACACUCACUUAGCCAUUUGGUGCCACUUCUCUUCACAAGCUUCACAAGGGGGUGUAGGUUUGCUUUUGGUUCCUCUUAUGCACACAAGGUGUUUGAUGAAAUGCCCCAAGAGCGUGAAACAAACAUGAUAUGAAGUGUUGGAGCCACACUUGAGGUUCCUCAUUUAUUUUUUCCUCCUCGAUCGCGGUUAGCAACUUGAACCUUUCAUGCAUGUGUGUCAUUGAUAAAAUAUGCAUGUGUGUUGUUCAUUGUUUAAUUUCUAUUGUUUAUAGCUAGUUAGUUUAACAAAUGCAUGAUGGUUAAUUAUAUAGGGGGGGGUAUAAUAAUGCAGAUGAAUCGGCAAUGGAUGUACGGUAACCGACUCUCCCGC
rnacentral:lncRNA from 1 species